UUGUCCUCACAGCGCUCACACCUACGUGGGUCCGGCUCUGGGGUGGACGGAGGGACAGGGAGGAGAAAGAGGGUUAGUUUGGUAGUCUGAUUAAUAGUCGUAGUGUGACGAGAGAUAUUAGUGUGUGGGAGGGAAAACGAGGAAGAGUUAUUUGACUAGGAGGAAGAAGAUGUAUAAGGAAGAAGAAGUGAAGAUUAGUAGAUACACGUAAAUGGUAUAAGGAGGAAGAAGAGGAAGUUAAUGAUAGUAAAUGAGGAAGAGGAAGAGAAUGAGAUGGAGAUGAGUGAGGUUAGCGAUAAAUUAAGAGGAGGAGGAAGAGGAGGAGGAGGAGGAGGAGGAGGAGGAGGAGGAGAAGAAGAAAAGGAGGAGAAGAAGAAAAUGGAGAAGGAGUAGAAGGAGGAGGAGGAGGAGAAGGAAAAGGAGAAGAAGAAAAUAGAGAAGGAAAAGAAGGAAAUAGAGAAGGAGAAAAAGGAAAAGAAGAAGAAGGAUAAAGAAGAAGAAGGAUAAAGAAGAAGAAAAGGCUCUAAUCUAUGCCAUUUUACAGGCUGUGGUGCUAGGUGGCUGUGCUAAGGCUGUGUCCUCGGCGGUGGCUGUGCAAGGUGUGCUGUGGUGCUGUGGUCCAAGAAGGGUGCUGACGAGGGCCACGAGGAAGCAGGUAAGUGCUGAACUUGAAGCGUGCCGUGCUGAGUGCUGAGGUGCUGAGGUGCUGGUGUGCUGGUGACCGCCUUGGAUGAAAGGGUGCUGAAAGAGGUGCUUGUGGUGCUGCUAUUGGUGGUGCUGCUGUGUUGGUGGUAAGCUAGUUAGCAGCUGUGCUCAUGGUGGUGGUGGUGGUGGUGAUGGUUGUGCUGCAGUGGACAGGUGGUGGCU